rnacentral:rRNA from 1 species
GCUAGGAUGAACGCUAGCGACAGGCUUAACACAUGCAAGUCGAGGGGCAGCACGGGAGUAGCAAUACUUGGUGGCGACCGGCGCACGGGUGAGUAACGCGUAUGCAACCUACCUAUCAGGAGGGGAAUAACCCGGCGAAAGUCGGACUAAUACCGCAUAAAACAGGGGCACCGCAUGGUGAUAUUUGUUAAAGAAAUUCGCUGAUAGAUGGGCAUGCGUUCCAUUAGGUAGUUGGUGAGGUAACGGCUCACCAAGCCGACGAUGGAUAGGGGAACUGAGAGGUUGGUCCCCCACACUGGUACUGAGACACGGACCAGACUCCUACGGGAGGCAGCAGUGAGGAAUAUUGGUCAAUGGGCGGGAGCCUGAACCAGCCAAGUCGCGUGAAGGAAGAAGGAUCUAUGGUUCGUAAACUUCUUUUGCAGGGGAAUAAAGUGCAGGACGUGUCCUGUUUUGUAUGUACCCUGAGAAUAAGGAUCGGCUAACUCCGUGCCAGCCGCUGC